rnacentral:rRNA from 1 species
UACACACGGAUAACAUACCGAAAGGUAUGCUAAUACGGGAUAAUAUAUUUGAGAGGCAUCUCUUAAAUAUCAAAGGUGAGCCAGUACAGGAUGGACCCGCGUCUGAUUAGCUAGUUGGUAAGGUAACGGCUUACCAAGGCGACGAUCAGUAGCCGACCUGAGAGGGUGAUCGGCCACAUUGGAACUGAGACACGGUCCAAACUCCUACGGGAGGCAGCAGUGGGGAAUAUUGCACAAUGGGCGAAAGCCUGAUGCAGCAACGCCGCGUGAGUGAUGAAGGCCUUCGGGUCGUAAAACUCUGUCCUCAAGGAAGAUAAUGACGGUACUUGAGGAGGAAGCCCCGGCUAACUACGUGCCAGCAGCCGCGGUAAUACGUAGGGGGCUAGCGUUAUCCGGAUUUACUGGGCGUAAAGGGUGCGUAGGCGGUCUUUCAAGUCAGGAGUGAAAGGCUACGGCUCAACCGUAGUAAGCUCUUGAAACUGGGAGACUUGAGUGCAGGAGAGGAGAGUGGAAUUCCUAGUGUAGCGGUGAAAUGCGUAGAUAUUAGGAGGAACACCAGUUGCGAAGGCGGCUCUCUGGACUGUAACUGACGCUGAGGCACGAAAGCGUGGGGAGCAAACAGGCUUAGAUACCCUGGUAGUCCACGCUGUAAACGAUGAGUACUAGGUGUCGGGGGUUACCCCCUUCGGUGCCGCAG